UGCACUAGUUUCACGAAUAUGGCGCAUUGCAUUAUUUGAUGUUGAUUCAGGAGGUUUGGACCAAGGCGACUUCAAUAGCCCAUUUCUGUCAUUGAGUCUUGGGUAAGUCCUUUGAGAGCCGGACAAGUACAUAUAGGAAAGUCACUGUGAGCUCUCUGUGGACUAGGUACCCCGUCAUGUAUGUGAAAGUCCUGUGUGAGCUCCUUUGGGGGAGCCGGGCACCGACAGAGGGAAUUUUGAGGUCAUGUCCGAUCCUUGAGAGUAAAG
rnacentral:lncRNA from 1 species